rnacentral:precursor_RNA from 1 species
UUCAAAAUAGAAAUAUAUUUGAUAACUUCUUCUCUGUAAAGCGUUCUUACGAGCACUUGACUAGAAAAGUUCUAGUAAAAUGUAAUCUCUAAAAAUAGUAAUCCUUGAAUUUAAUAAACUAUUUCUCGCCUCCUUUGAGUCGGCGAGAAAUAGUUUGCUCCACCCUAAAGGGGCGAGCUUUCGAGCCUAUUUGGUACACAAAGUGUCGUCUCGGCCCAAGUACUGAUACUUGUCCGAUGGCCUCCGGAAAUUCAGGUUACAACUUUAAAGCGAGAUUGAAAUAGGAUUUCUAUAAAUAGAAAUUUCUUAUAGAAGAGUCUAUGGUUAACUAUUUAAGGACCGCCAGGCAUCAUCGUUACUAAACUCUUUAAGAGAUUUAUCUUAAUUUCUUAAGAAAGUUGUCUUAUAACUAAAUCAAAAUUAUUCUCUAAUUUUAUUAACUUAUAGGAAUAAGGCCGGUGAUUUGACCAUCCUAAGGAUUUCAAAACAGAGAUGAGGAACGAAGUAAUUGAAAAGAUAGGAAAAAAAGAAGUAUAUUAAAGCCUAUCUCUUCAAAGGGAUCAUCUAAGAUGUAAUUUUAGACGUUAAGGUCUAACAAAAACGUACGUAGAUGCUAGAAAUAACUUUUUCUAAUUAGUAGAUUUUGUAUUUUUAGAUGAGCUGGAUGAAAGAAAUCUUUCAUGUCCGGUUCUGAAGUAGAGGCAGUUCUUCUAAUGUUUAUGCCGAGCAAAGUCUUAUCAUAUUGGACUCAGUUAGCAUAUGGAAGAAAACUAUCGACUAUAACUUAUAGCCUUCCAAGCUAAUGGUGCGGGUUCGAUUCCCCGCU